AGAACGAACGCUGGCGGCAGGCUUAACACAUGCAAGUCGAACGCCCCGCAAGGGGAGUGGCAGACGGGUGAGUAACGCGUGGGAAUCUACCCAGUUCUACGGAAUAACACAGGGAAACUUGUGCUAAUACCGUAUACGCCCUACGGGGGAAAGAUUUAUCGGGAUUGGAUGAGCCCGCGUUGGAUUAGCUAGUUGGUGGGGUAAUGGCCUACCAAGGCGACGAUCCAUAGCUGGUCUGAGAGGAUGAUCAGCCACACUGGGACUGAGACACGGCCCAGACUCCUACGGGAGGCAGCAGUGGGGAAUAUUGGACAAUGGGCGCAAGCCUGAUCCAGCCAUGCCGCGUGAGUGAUGAAGGCCUUAGGGUUGUAAAGCUCUUUCAGUGGGGAAGAUAAUGACGGUACCCACAGAAGAACGCCCCGGCUAACUUCGUGCCAGCAGCCGC
rnacentral:rRNA from 1 species